UGACGUCACAGACCUCCCUCUAACAACUCUACUCUAGCAUCGUACCGAGGUUCCUUAGGUGCAGGACUCUUCUUUUUAAAGAUGAUGGUCCUUUCCAUCAAGGACCCACCAAGGAUGGAGAAGGACAGAGACCACAUGGCUGCAAGGAUAUUAGACCUCACCCUGGAGAUCAUCUCCUUGAUAACUGGAGAGGAUUACACAGUAGUGAAGAAGUCGUCUGGUGAGUGUGUGACACCCCGUGUGUCAGGAGGA